CCUACGGGGCGCAGCAGUGGGGAAUAUUGGACAAUGGGCGAAAGCCUGAUCCAGCCAUGCCGCGUGUGUGAAGAAGGCCUUCGGGUUGUAAAGCACUUUCAGUGGGGAAGAAAGCCUUGGGGCUAAUACCCUCGAGGAAGGACAUCACCCACAGAAGAAGCACCGGCUAACUCCGUGCCAGCAGCCGCGGUAAUACGGAGGGUGCGAGAGUUAAUCGGAAUUACUGGGCGUAAAGCGCGCGUAGGCGGUCUGAUAAGCCGGUUGUGAAAGCCCCGGGCUCAACCUGGGAACGGCAUCCGGAACUGUCAGGCUAGAGUGCAGGAGAGGAAGGUAGAAUUCCCGGUGUAGCGGUGAAAUGCGUAGAGAUCGGGAGGAAUACCAGUGGCGAAGGCGGCCUUCUGGACUGACACUGACGCUGAGGUGCGAAAGCGUGGGUAGCAAACAGGAUUAGAUACCCGUGUAGUC
rnacentral:rRNA from 1 species